UAAAUAAUAAAAGUUUAAAAGAUAAUUAAGAAAUUUUUUUUGUAAUGUAUAUAAGGCUAUUUCAUAGGAUUUUUUUUAAUAUAUUGGGUUACGAUAUUUUCAAUAUAAACUUUUUAAGAAUUAUGUAUAUUAACUGCAUCUUUUGUGUUAUCGAAAACACAGAUGUCUCCAUAUUUUCAAAUUAUUUUUUAAUAAUGAGACAUCCGAUUCAAUAAGAAUCCCAACCCGAAAUAAUUAUUUCUCUUUAUCACAUAUGAAAACAUAUUACAUUAAACCUAAUUUUUAAAAUACAAAUUAAAAUACAACAUCAAAUAUUUAUACAUAUAUAUUACAUAAUAUAAAAUUAAGGAAAAACUUCAAAAACCCCCCUGUGGUUUCGUAGAUUUUCACUUCACCCCCCUGUGGUUUAAAAUGUAUCAAAUUGCCCCAUUGUGGUUUCGUUUUUAUCUUUUCGAUAGUUUUUUCGUUAAUAUUUCAUUAAAUUAUAUACAAAAAACUUCAGAUACCCAUCUAGAUUUAUCAAAUAUUCACUUUAGUACCCUUUAAAUUAACUUUAUCACUGAUUUAAGAAAAAAAAUAAUGAAAUUGAUAAGAAAAAGAGAAAAAAGAAACCACGGGGGGCCAAAUUGAUACAUUUUAAACCACAGAGGGGCAAAAGGAGAAACUAUGAAACUACAUGGGGGGUUUUUGAAGUUUUUCCUAAAAUUAAUUAUUGCGAUCCUUACCAUCAAGAUUUUAUUGUCGAUUUGAAAUUUUAAUAGAAAAUUUUUCUUACCUUCAUUAUAUAUUAAAAUGUUUGUAAGUUCAAUUGUACCUAAAUAUUCGCUCUUGAUGGUAAGUAAUUAUCCUAAAAUGUUUGUAAGUUCAAUGGUAACUAUUUUAAUUGUCGAUUUGAAAUUUAAGUCUUCCAUUAUUAUGUUUUAUAAAAAAAUUUCAACCAUUCAUUUCGAAAUUUCUUAUUUACUAGGCAAAUAAAGUAAAACAAAUUAUAAAAAUUGGUCUCUAAAUGAUUCUAAUAGCAUAAAUCAUGCUUAACGAAGCCGAUCGCUGAAUCAUAUAUCUGGUCAUCAAAAACGACUUAAAAAUACCAAAACUUUUGUACUUUCGAAAGCAUGAUAAUCUAGCUUAUAUAUCUCAAUUUUUCUGAAAUAUUUACUACCUGUCACAAAGCGCGGGCACAACACUAGUAGAUAAUUAUUCUCUCUAUACAUAAUCUUUUCACAAGAGCUCAAACUAAAAUGGAAAUUUGGUGAUUACUCCUCCUAUCAUUAUCAAGGAUAGAGCCACCAGCAUGGAAAAGGGAGAUGGAAAAGGAAAGGGUGGAAGCAAUAAGCUAACUGGCAAAUCACAAUGAACCUUUUCCAUUUAUGGGAUUAGGUAAAUGUGGUGGUAAUUUGUCCUAACUUGUCAAGUGGUUAGAACUAGUGCAUGCAUAGAAAGAGCUGAGUUACAAGAUUUUUUUAGAGACAUCAACAGGUCAGAUUCAUGAUGAAUUUUUAAAUAUGGAAUCCGAACCCAACUAUCGAAAUCGAAAUGUGAACCCGAAUCCGAAGUCAUUAGUUUUUAGGGAUGUCAAUGGGUCAGAUUCGGGGUAGAUUUUAAAAACCCGAAUCUAAACCCGGCUACAUUCGAAAUUUGAAAACUCGAAUUCAACGGAUUAAAAAUCCUUAUCCAAAUUCGAAUCCGACAAAAGUUCAAAACUGAACCUGAAAAUCCGAACUCGAAGUGAUUAUUUCUCUUUACCAUAUAUCAAAACAUAUUACAUUAAAACGAGUAGUCUAAAAAUGAACGACUGAAAAUAAAAAUCUCGUAAAAAAUGAUGAUAAAAGACUUGAAUUUAAGAUCAAAGGUACUGAUCUCACUCUAAAUAGUGAAAAGAAUUUUCUAUAAAAAUUUCAUGAAAUUUGGAUUGUUUUACACUGUUAAAUUCACAAAUGCAUCACAUCGGCCAUUAAAAUUAUCAUUUUUGAGACCUUUUGAUCACUAGCCAAAUGAUGUCGAAAAAUUAUAAAAUUUAGUUUCCAAAUACUUUCAAUAGUGUAGAUCAAGUCUAACGGAGCCGAUCGUCGAUUUGAAAGCCAUAUCAUUGAACACAACUUGGUAGCAUGGAGGCAUCCGUGCUACUGAUAGUAUGCCAACCUAACUCUCUCUCUCUCUCUCUCUCUCUCUCUCUCUCUCUCUCUCUCUAUAUAUAUAUAUAUAUAUAAUGCAAAAUUAAUUCGAGUUUAGGUCGGGUUCGGGUUCAGAUCGGGUACAGACAAAAUCCAUACUCAAAUCCAAAUCCGUUGGGUUUUUAUUUUUUAUAUCUGUAUCCAAAACCAAAUCCAUUUCACAUUGGGUAAAUUCACCCCAUUCGAAUUCGAGUUCGGAUAAAAUUUCGAAUAUUCAUACCCAGUAACAUCCCUAUUAGUUUUGCAAAUCCACAACAAAAAUCAAACUCGAGAAAAAAAAACCCCAAAUUUGAAACUGAACCCAAAAAUCUGAACCCAAUAACAGGUAUUUUAAUAUGUUAUAUUCAAACAUAAAUUUUCAAAAUACAAAUUUAAAUGCAAUCAAGUCAUACAACUCAAUUUAAUUUAUUAUAAUUUCUAACUCGUAUUUUUUAAAUUAUUACAAUCAAGUUCUAUAACGUAAUUUAGCCUACUAAAUGUCAAUGUGCCAUGAAUGUGAAAACAA
rnacentral:lncRNA from 1 species